rnacentral:piRNA from 1 species
UUAUGAAAACGGUUACCCUGGCGACGG